rnacentral:sRNA from 1 species
AUAUACCUUCUCCCCGCCUGCGGGGAGAAGGUGGCGGCAG